rnacentral:rRNA from 1 species
CACGUAGGGUGCGAGCGUUGUCCGGAAUUAUUGGGCGUAAAGAGCUCGUAGGCGGUGUGUCGCGUCGACCGUGAAAACCUGCAGCUUAACUGUGGGCGUGCGGUCGAUACGGGCAUCACUGGAGUUCGGCAGGGGAGACUGGAAUUCCUGGUGUAGCGGUGAAAUGCGCAGAUAUCUGGAGGAACACCGGUGGCGAAGGCGGCAUCCUGGACCGACACUGACACUGAGGAGCGAAAGCCAGGGGAGCAAACGGG